GUGGGAGUAGCUGUCUUCUGGGCAUAUAUAGAACUUAUUUUGUAGGUGAAUAGACCUUUUUUUGGUUUCGGGACGGGUAGACCCCGAUGAGCUUGAUAGCGGGUGAUAGGUUUUCAGCUAAGGUUUAGAUUAAUUAACUUGGUGUUAGGCUGUUACUUCUUUUGUUGGGAGAACCGAGAUCAUGAAUAAAUGAUUCCACUUUUUGAUGUAUUAAUAAUUAUGUUGACCUUUAUUGAAAGACAAUUUUUAGUUAGAAAAUGCUACCGCGGGGAUAACAGCACUAUCCUUUCGGAGAGAAUAAAUUGCAGAGAGGGUUUAUGACCUCGAUUUUGGGUCAGAUGAUUCUGGGUGAUAUAAGAGCUCGCCCAAUGAUGGACUGUUCGUCCUUUAAAUUUCU
rnacentral:rRNA from 1 species